rnacentral:rRNA from 1 species
GGACUACUGGGGUAUCUAAUCCUGUUCGCUCCCCACGCUUUCGCUCCUCAGCGUCAGUACCGGCCCAGCCCACCGCCUUCGCCACCGGUGUUCCUCCUGAUAUCUGCGCAUUUCACCGCUACACCAGGAAUUCCGUGGGCCCCUACCGGACUCUAGCCAUGGCAGUAUCGAGUGGCGUCUCCAGGUUGAGCCUGAAGGUUUCACACCCGACUUACCAAGCCGCCUACGAGCUCUUUACGCCCAAUGAAUCCGGACAACGCUCGCCCCCUACGUAUUACCGCGGCUGCUGGCAC